rnacentral:lncRNA from 1 species
UGCUUUGAUACAAGGGACCCCAUUGGUGCACGUCAUGGUGUUAGUAAAGUUGUAUGGAUCAUACUUUAAUUGUAGACUUUUGUGAAGGGUCUUUUAACAUUUGUGCUGUAUAUAUGGGGAAUUUAAUUGUAUCAGGGGUAAGAUGGUUACCGUAUAUUUAUGUGUUGUAAAGGCACGUUAAUAUCAUGUAACCAUGGAGCUGUACUUACAUGUGCAUUGGUGCACUUCUUGUAUAUAGAUUGGGGCAGGCCUUGUGCCUUUGUUUAAUGUUAUUUUAUUUGCUGAUAUAAAAAAACAAAAGAAAAAACAAGGAACCCCAUUUUAUUCAAACAUUGAUAUUGCUUCCUACAUUUUUAAUAACUUUUUUACCUUUUGCCUUUAA